rnacentral:lncRNA from 1 species
UCGAGGCCAGCCUGGUCUAUAAAUCAAGUUCCAGGACAGCCAGGGCUACACAGAGAAACCUUAUCUUGAAAAACCAAAAAAAAAAAAAAAAAAAAAAAAAAAAAAAAAAAAUGUAAUUACACUGUUUUCCCCUUUCCCUUUUAUUUUUUAAAAUUUAUUUUUAUAAUAUUUUAUACAUAUGAAUGUUUUGCUUUUGUGUGUCUGUGCACCACAUGGUGCUGAGGAGGUCAAAUGGGGACAUUGGCUCUCUUGAAACUGGAAUUGUGAGCCACCAUCUAGGUGCUGGGAUUCAAACGGAGGUCCUCUGCAAGAACAAAUGUUCUUAACUUGGGAGCCAUCUCUGCAGCUCCUCUCUUUUACUUACUUACUUUAGACUUAUAAAUGAGGACACUCUCCUACACUACUUAUUUUAGACAGGAUCUCACUAUGUAUUCCUGGCUGGCCUGAAGCUCACUCUGUAGACCAGGCAAUUUUUUUAAAAAAGAUUUAUUUAUUAUUAUACAUAAGUACACUGUUGCUGAUUUCAGACACACCAAAAGAGGGCGUCAGAUCUCAUUAUGGGUGGUUGUGAACCAUCAUGUGAUUGUUGGGAUUUGAACUCAGGACCUUUGGAAGAGGAAGAGCAGUCAGUGCUCUUACCCGCUGAGCCAUCUCACCAGCCCCAGGCUAGUCUUAAAUUCAUAGAGAUAUUCUCCCUGAGGGCUGGGAUUAAAGGUGUAUGCCACAAUGCCUCUAACUCU